AUCGUAACAUUGCGGUCCGGCCUCAAGCUGUACUUAAACACCUAAGAGUUAAAAGGGAAUCCGGUGUAAAUCCGGAGCUGACGCGCAGCGGUAAGGGGAAGUUACGGCGAUAGGUUUCAACCAGACACUGUCCGCAAGGAUGGGAAGUCAUCGCCCGCUCUGUUCUCAGAGAUCCCAAGCCCGAAGACCUGCCGGUAUUACGUCGCAAUA
rnacentral:ncRNA from 2 species